AAGUCGUAACAAGGUUUCCGUAGGUGAACCUGCGGAAGGAUCAUUAACAAAUCGGUGCAGUGGCCGCAAGGCCAGCCUAUCUUGUGGAACGUGUCUGUCUUUCCCUUGGCGGCGGCCCGUGUGGCGAGGCCGCGCGCCCGCUGCCGAGGGCGCGUUUAUAAACAUUGUGUGCCGGCUAACUACAUACUACUACGUAAAGAUACAACUUUCAACAGUGGAUCUCUCGGCUCCU
rnacentral:misc_RNA from 1 species